rnacentral:rRNA from 1 species
GACGAACGCUGGCGGCGUGCUUAACACAUGCAAGUCGAACGGAAAGGCCUCUUUCGGGGGGUACUCGAGUGGCGAACGGGUGAGUAACACGUGAGUAACCUGCCCUUGACUUUGGGAUAACUUCAGGAAACUGGGGCUAAUACCGGAUAGGAGCUCCUGCUGCAUGGUGGGGGUUGGAAAGUUUCGGCGGUUGGGGAUGGACUCGCGGCUUAUCAGCUUGUUGGUGGGGUAGUGGCUUACCAAGGCUUUGACGGGUAGCCGGCCUGAGAGGGUGACCGGCCACAUUGGGACUGAGAUACGGCCCAGACUCCUACGGGAGGCAGCAGUGGGGAAUAGUGCACAAUGGGUGGAAGCCUGAUGCAGCAACGCCGGGUGCGGGAUGACGGCCUUCGGGUUGUAAACCGCUUUCGCUCAUGACGAAGCUUUGUGUGACGGUAGUGGGUAAAGAAGCACCGGCUAACUACGUG